AGUGAACGCUGGCGGUAGGCCUAACACAUGCAAGUCGAACGGCAGCACAGUAAGAGCUUGCUCUUACGGGUGGCGAGUGGCGGACGGGUGAGGAAUACAUCGGAAUCUACUUUUUCGUGGGGGAUAGCGGAGGGAAACUUACGCUAAUACCGCAUACGACCUACGGGUGAAAGCAGUGGAUCUUCGGACCUUGCGCGAUUGAAUGAGCCGAUGUCGGAUUAGCUAGUUGGCGGGGUAAAGGCCCACCAAGGCGACGAUCCGUAGCUGGUCUGAGAGGAUGAUCAGCCACACUGGAACUGAGACACGGUCCAGACUCCUACGGGAGGCAGCAGUGGGGAAUAUUGGACAAUGGGCGCAAGCCUGAUCCAGCCAUACCGCGUGGGUGAAGAAGGCCUUCGGGUUGUAAAGCCCUUUUGUUGGGAAAGAAAAGCAGCAGGUUAAUACCCCGCUGUUCUGACGGUACCCAAAGAAUAAGCACCGGCUAACUUCGUG
rnacentral:rRNA from 1 species